rnacentral:rRNA from 1 species
AGGGCUUUGCCUCUAGAGAAGAGCUUUCCCUUCGGGGACAAAGUGACAGGUGGUGCAUGGUUGUCGUCAGCUCGUGUCGUGAGAUGUUGGGUUAAGUCCCGCAACGAGCGCAACCCUUAUUGUUAGUUGCCAUCAUUUAGUUGGGCACUCUAGCGAGACUGCCGGUGACAAACCGGAGGAAGGUGGGGAUGACGUCAAAUCAUCAUGCCCCUUAUGACCUGGGCUACACACGUGCUACAAUGGGAAGUACAACGAGUCGCUAGACCGCGAGGUCAUGCAAAUCUCUUAAAGCUUCUCUCAGUUCGGAUUGCAGGCUGCAACUCGCCUGCAUGAAGCCGGAAUCGCUAGUAAUCGCGGAUCAGCACGCCGCGGUGAAUACGUUCCCGGGUCUUGUACACACCGA